UACGUAGGGGGCAAGCGUUGUCCGGAAUCAUUGGGCGUAAAGCGCGUGUAGGCGGCCCGGUAAGUCCGCUGUGAAAGUCGGGGGCUCAACCCUCGAAUGCCGGUGGAUACUGUCGGGCUAGAGUGCGGGAGAGGCGAGUGGAAUUCCUGGUGUAGCGGUGAAAUGCGCAGAUAUCAGGAAGAACACCCGUGGCUAAGGCGGUUCUCUAGUACGGUACUGACGCUGAGACGCGAAAGCGUGGGGAGCGAACAGG
rnacentral:rRNA from 1 species